UUGAGGAUCCUGGCUCUGCUAAGGACUCUGCACUCUGCUUAGAAUCCUGGCUCCAAUGAGGGAUCCCAAGCUCUGGCCCUGGCUCUGACAUCUACUUCCAGUGACCUUGGACAAGUUGCUCCUUCCUUCUAGAGCUCAGUCUUCCAAGUCAGAAGACAGCAGGAGAUAAUAUCCACCAUUCUCUGGCUGCCUUGGAAUAUAAUGCUGCCUUUGUGGCCCCCAUCUCUGCUCUGCCUCCUGACACCAGGCCGACUUCUGACACACAAGCCUUCUGUCAAUGCCAGGGAGAAGAGUAGAGGGAUAAUGGUGCAUCUCUCAGGAGGUGGAAGCAAGAGAACGAGGAACUCGAGGUUAUUUUCAGCUGCAAAGUGAGUUAGAGAGCAGUCUGGGCAACAUAACUCCUGGGUCAAGAAAGAAAAGUGGGGCCAGGCAAUGGUGGCACACGCCUUUAAUCCCAGUGCUCUGGAGGCAGAGGCAGGCAGAUCUCUGAGUUCAAGGCCACCCUGGUCUACAGAGGGAGUUCCAGAACAGUCAGGACUACACAGAGAAACCCCGUCUUGAAGAAAAAAAAAAAAAAAAAAAAAAAAAAGGAAAAAGAAAAAAA
rnacentral:lncRNA from 1 species